UCGGAUAUGGUGUAACGGUUAACAUUGCUGUCUUUCACACAGCGGCCCCGGGUUCGACUCCCGGUAUCCGAA
rfam:Rhizopogon vinicolor AM-OR11-026 unplaced genomic scaffold K503scaffold_114, whole genome shotgun sequence.